rnacentral:rRNA from 1 species
UACGUAGGGGGCGAGCGUUAAUCGGAAUUACUGGGCGUAAAGCGUGCGUAGGCGGCUUUGCAAGACAGAUGUGAAAUCCCCAGGCUCAACCUGGGAACUGCAUUUGUGACUGCAAGGCUAGAGUACGGCAGAGGGGGAUGGAAUUCCGCGUGUAGCAGUGAAAUGCGUAGAUAUGCGGAGGAACACCAAUGGCGAAGGCAAUCCCCUGGGCCUGUACUGACGCUCAUGCACGAAAGCGUGGGGAGCAAACAGG